rnacentral:rRNA from 1 species
UACGUAGGGGGCGAGCGUUGUCCGGAAUGACUGGGCGUAAAGGGCGUGUAGGCGGUUAACUAAGUUUGGAGUGAAAGUCCUGCAUUCAAUGUGGGAAUUGCUUUGAAUACUGGAUAACUUGAGUGCGGAAGAGGUAAGUGGAAUUCCCAGUGUAGCGGUGAAAUGCGUAGAGAUUGGGAGGAACACCAGUGGCGAAGGCGACUUACUGGGCCGUAACUGACGCUGAGGCGCGAAAGCGUGGGGAGCGAAC